GCUUCACCCAGGAUGUAGCAACAUUCCAGCAAUAUCAUGGCGGGGUACACCAGAAAUUGGCUUUACACAUUGCACCCAUGCUCGGAAUCGAAUCCGGGA